rnacentral:rRNA from 1 species
UACAGAGGUCCCGAGCGUUGUUCGGAUUCACUGGGCGUAAAGGGUGCGUAGGCGGUCGGGUAAGUCUGACGUGAAAUCUUCAAGCUCAACUUGGAAACUGCGUCGGAUACUAUUCGGCUAGAGGAAUGGAGGGGAGACUGGAAUACUUGGUGUAGCAGUGAAAUGCGUAGAUAUCAAGUGGAACACCAGUGGCGAAGGCGAGUCUCUGGACAUUUCCUGACGCUGAGGCACGAAAGCGUGGGGAGCAAACAGG